UACAGAGGGGGGCAAGCGUUGUUCGGAAUUACUGGGCGUAAAGGGCGCGUAGGCGGCCUUCUAAGUCGAACGUGAAAUCCCCGGGCUCAACCCGGGAACUGCGUCCGAUACUGGAAGGCUUGAAUCCGGGAGAGGGAUGUGGAAUUCCAGGUGUAGCGGUGAAAUGCGUAGAUAUCUGGAGGAACACCGGGUGGCGAAGGCGACAUCCUGGACCGGUAUUGACGCUGAGGCGCGAAAGCGUGGGGAGCGAACAGG
rnacentral:rRNA from 1 species